GCUGGACGUGGUAGCGGGCGUCUGUAAUCCCAGCUACUUGGGAGGCUGAGACAGGAGAAUUGCUUGAACCCGGGAGGUGGAGGUUACAGUGAGCCGAGAUCGCGCCAUUGCACUCUAGCCUGGGUGACAAAGCAAGAUUAUGUCUCAA
rnacentral:sRNA from 1 species